CUUGCACUCCAGCUCUACUAAUCCUUGUCUGUCACUCACUCAGUUCUUACCUCCCACUCUCUCCUCGUUGCAUUUCUCUCCCCUCUCUCAAAUUCUCUCUCUCUCUCCUAUGAGCUCCUCCCCUGUCUGGCAGAUUCUACAUCAAAACCCCGAGGACAGCAUCAACCCUGCAAGAAGAAGCCCUUUCUCACCCUGUGAGCUGACAAACUUCUAUGGAGUUGGAGUGAGAGGGGCGCAGAACAGGAGCUCUGGGGAUGGGGGUCCUCCCAGGCUGGGGGCUCCUACUGCUACUAAUCAGCGUCCUGAGGAUGAUGGGGUGCAUGGGGGAGCUGACCUGCUCAAGCUGUCACCCCCAUAUCAAGCUUCUGGGGCAGCAAGGGGCGAGCUCAGGCAGGGCAGGUUUGGGGUACAUGGUGCACAG